CGGCAGCCCCCACCUUCGGUGAGACCCUGUAGACCUUCUUGAUUUCCUAUUCUGGUUGUCAGUGUUUUAUGCUUGCUCCGAGGUUUGCUUCUCAUUCUGCAUUCUCCAUGUUCCUUUUCCAAAUGGGAGCACAAGCAGGAAGCAUCAUCAGCUUCGUUGCUGUGACUCUGCUGUGACUCUUCUCUCCAAGGACAGUGUGAGACAAACCUCAGCCCAGGCCACUUUCUAUUGACGUGUUACUUCUUUCAUUGUUGUAAUAAAAUAUCGGGCCAAAGGAACUCAAGGAAGGGAAGAUGUUCAUACAGCUGUUCAUCGCGGUAGGGAAAGCAUGGCACAGUACAGUACGUGGAGCAAGGAGUAGUGAGGAACAUGAACACAUUAAAAGAAAAGAAAAGAGAAGAGAAGAGAAGAGAAGAGAAGAGAAGAAAAGAAAAGAAAAGAAAAGAAAAGAAAAGAAAUGGCGUAAAAAGGAAUAGGGGUGUGUGAAACCUGUAUAGCGGUGUGUUGCUAGUUAACCUAGGCAAUGUUAAAAAGACAUUAUCUAAAUGACUUCUCAUUGCUUCAUCUGAUCAUAUGAUCUAAUAUGACCAUCUGCCUCAUCUGUCUAAGUUAAUACUUUUGAAAGAGACUAUACCUUAUUCUCAUGCAGUGAAGUAGGUUGAACAUAUUAUCAGUGCAAGCAUCGCUAAAAGGGUCCCACCAGCCAGCGGGAAGUGAGGAUAACUAGACACUCAGUGUAAAAGAUGCAAAGAAAACAUGGAAAGAGCAGGUUACAAAAAGCAGGACCUUGCAUUGGGGUAUGAUCCUGGAUGCAUCCACCAAGAGAUUUGCAAACUCAGGAUUAAGCUUAAAAACACUCACAAAAGGUUGGAAAAUGUAUAAUCUUAGAAUAUCUGGAGGUUCCGAAUGUAUCCUGAGCUGAAAGCACAACUUCAGGCUCAAGAAUGACAAUUUCAGAAAUGCACACAACUGGACAGUGAGCAUGCUCCGAAGUGCACACAACUGGACAGUGGGCAUGCUCAGAAGUGCACACAACUGGACAGUGAGCAAGCACAGCUCACCUUUAUUCCAUUUUUUUUCUGAGUCUAUGUGAAGGAUCCCUAAAUCAGGGCUCUGUGUUGUUUCUCUACCUCGUGUACCAUGUCUCUGACUCUGAUGAUUUUGUGUCAGCUAUCGUCACAUUUCUUUUAUGUGUCUUGCAUUUAUUG
rnacentral:lncRNA from 1 species